UACGUAGGGGGCAAGCGUUAUCCGGAAUUAUUGGGCGUAAAGAGUACGUAGGUGGCAACCUAAGCGCAGGGUUUAAGGCAAUGGCUCAACCAUUGUUCGCCCUGCGAACUGGGAUGCUUGAGUGCAGGAGAGGAAAGCGGAAUUCCUAGUGUAGCGGUGAAAUGCGUAGAUAUUAGGAGGAACACCAGUGGCGAAGGCGGCUUUCUGGACUGUAACUGACACUGAGGUACGAAAGCGAGGGGAGCAAACAGG
rnacentral:rRNA from 1 species